AUUGAACGCUGGCGGCAUGCUUUACACAUGCAAGUCGAGCGGCAGCGCGGGGGCAACCCUGGCGGCGAGCGGCGAACGGGUGAGUAAUGCAUCGGAACGUACCCUGGAGUGGGGGAUAACGCCGCGAAAGCGGCGCUAAUACCGCAUAUGCUCUGAGGAGGAAAGUGGGGGACCGCAAGGCCUCACGCUCUGGGAGCGGCCGAUGUGCGAUUAGCGAGUUGGUGGGGUAAAGGCCUACCAAGGCGACGAUCGGUAGCUGGUCUGGGAGGAGGAUCAGCCACACUGGGACUGGGACACGGCCCAGACUCCUACGGGAGGCAGCAGUGGGGAAUUUUGGACAAUGGGGGCAACCCUGAUCCAGCCAUGCCGCGUGAGUGAAGAAGGCCUUCGGGUUGUAAAGCUCUUUUGGUCGGGAAGAAGGAGCCUUGCCUAAUACGCGGGGUGACGGACGGUACCGACAGAAUAAGCACCGGCUAACUACGUGCCAGCAGCCGCGGUAAGAC
rnacentral:rRNA from 1 species